UGCCACUUCAUGAUUGUGUCCCACUUGUUGUUGAUUCUUCACAAAAAAAUACAGUUUUAUAUCUUUAUGUUUGAAGCCUGAAAUGUGGCAAAAGGUCGCAAAGUUCAAGGGGGCCGAAUACUUUCGCAAGGCACUGUAUAUAGUACUGCUACAAAGGAAUAGGGUUUCUGCUAUAUUUUCACACAAUUGUGUCUUGCAGAAGGGAGCCAUGAAGAGGAGCUUGGAGUAGGCAAGGGAGAGGCUGAUAAAGCAGUAGAGAAGACCUGAUUCAUCAAGUAUCACAGUUAAUUCUGGUGAUUCUGACCUGGUUGGAAUGCGCAACACGGCAAGGCACUUCAAUCCGACACUCUUGUUAAUGUUUGACGUCAGGCAAAACGUCUUCAGCCACCGUAGGAUGGAGAGCCGCUGGUUGGCAUUUUUGACAGCGGUGUCUGUGUGGGUGUACCAGGAAAGGACGUUAGAAGUUAGGUCCCCAUGAUAUAAAAGCUUCUUACCAUCUUCACUGCACCCCGUCGAUAUCGAU
rnacentral:lncRNA from 13 species